AAUUUGAAAUAAAAAAAUAUUUUAUUUCGGUCUAUCUCAUGUCUCUCAGAAGGAAGAGAAAUUCACUGAAUGAGCCAAAUGACAGAGGGGGUGAAAAACAAAUCGCAGAAGAUAUCGAGUAUGCAGACAUUAGAGAGUCUGGCUCUCAGACUGGCAGCCAGAGGCAGGAAGCCCCAUCUCAGGGGGAGGAAGUCUGCUAUGCUUCCGUGCAGUUUAACACCAAACCUCCAGGCAGGCAGUGUGAUGUCAGUAACGCGGAGAGCCCUGAUGAUGUAAUCUUGUACGCUGCAGUCCGAAAACCAGCCAUCUGCAGUUAAACCAGGAGUCUUCCUCACCUGCGAUUCCACUCCUCCACUUCCUCCUGCUGGAUCCUCCCCCCCUCCACAAGGAUGCCUCGACAGGGACAGCAGUCUCUUCCAGAGCUGAUUCCAUAGAGCACACUGGAGCUGCAGUGACCAUACAGCACACUGGAGCUGCAGUGACCAUCAUAAUGCACACUGAAGCUGCAGUGACCAUCAUAAAGCACACUGAAGCUGCAGUGACCAUCAUAAUGCACACUGAAGCUGCAGUGACAUUCAUAAUGCACACUGACGCUGCAAUGACCAUCAUAAAGCACACUGAAGCUGCAGUGACUAUAAGGCACUCUGGAGCGGCCCUUUGGUAGAGAGACACUCUCAGGGAACUGAGUCAGUUUGUCUGCAGUGACAUUCAUAAUGCACACUGACUAAAAAAGUUGGGACAGGAGCAGUUUAGGGCUGGUAAUGAGGUAGAAAAAAAAUA